AACAAACGCUGGCGGCGUGCCUAAUACAUGCAAGUCGAACGGGGUAGCAAUACCUAGUGGCGCACGGGUGAGUAACGCGUGGAUAAUCUGCCUUAGAGUGGGGGAUAACUAGUCGAAAGAUUAGCUAAUACCGCAUAAGACCACAAGAACUGCGGUUCAAGGGGUCAAAGGUUUUUCGCUCUAAGAUGAGUCCGCGUAAGAUUAGCUAGUUGGUGAGGUAAUGGCUCACCAAGGCGACGAUCUUUAACUGGUCUGAGAGGAUGAUCAGUCACACUGGAACUGAGACACGGUCCAGACUCCUACGGGAGGCAGCAGUAGGGAAUAUUGCACAAUGGAGGAAACUCUGAUGCAGCGACGCCGCGUGAGUGAUGAAGGCCUUCGGGUCGUAAAGCUCUGUCGCAGGGGAAUAACACAAUGAAUGUACCCUGUAAGAAAGGAUCGGCUAACUUCGUGCCAGCCGCCGCAGUAAGAC
rnacentral:rRNA from 1 species